CCGAGCUGUCGACGCGAGCUGUUGCUGGCUCCCAAACGGGGGCAUGUGCACGUUCCGUCAACACAUUCACUCACACCUGUGCACCCUUUGCGGUUCUGUGGUCUGGGAGACCCUCGGUCUCUCUGCCGCGGUUCUGCGUCUUUACACAUACGCCGUAGCAAAGUCUUGUGGAAUGUGUGCCGCGUUUAACGCAAUAAAAUA
rnacentral:misc_RNA from 1 species